AAGCCAAAAGAUGAUCUCUUUAAGACUUUAACUCCUCCUCCUCUCUUACCUUGAGGGUGAUGAUGGUGGUGGUGGUGUAUCAGUUUAUCAAUUCACUUGGUUCUUAUGCAAGGUCUUCGUUGCAUUGAAGAAAUCUUACCUGGAAGUGGUUCUCUUAAUAUUUCUGUCCUGGAACUUCAAUAAUCUCAGCAGUGAAACAUCAGAUGCUGUCAACAUGGCGGUUCUCCAUCUCAAGCACUUGAACAUCAACGUUCAUGAAACACCCUAACUUCAAUAGAAUGACAAAAAGGAGAUUCUCUUUGUUGGACAAUGGAUGAAAACGAAGGGAUCACUGUGGACGUGGAGUCUGGGGUGGAGCACGUGAAAGAGAUGUGGAGAUGUCUUGGUAUUGGACAGAAGGGUUACCUGACCGUGUCCGAGCUUGGCACUGUCUGUAGACAUAUUGGCAUGGAAGAUAUGCAAGACUGG
rnacentral:lncRNA from 1 species